UUCUAACCUAUUUCUAACCCUAGGAAAAAUAUGUUUUUGUUUUUGAAUGGUUUUUGUUAUGGUUUUUGUAUCAAAAGUAAAAUAAGAAAUAAAUCAGAUAUGUGAUAAAACAGCUGAGGAAAAGAAAGGAGAAUACAGUGCAAAAAAUGGAAGGAAAUGAUAUAUUCUUUUGGAAAGAUGUGUAUUUGCGUUGAAUUUCAUAAGAAACCCUCACCGAUUGCCCUCUGCUUUUCAAUGAAAGUGUGUGCCAAAAAAGGGUAAAGCUGGAGCAACAAGAUUGGAAUCCUUCAGAUGGUUUUUGUUUCCAAUUAUUGCCUUCAAAUCAUUCCUCCAAAUAGCUCUUCAGAAAAUUAUACUCAAACAUUCAAAUUUUAAAUACAUGGACUCUAUCAUAGAGAUAAAUGCUGUAACUCCUGAACCUGCAUUUUUCUUUGAUAUAAAAAUAAUUUAAAUCUUAAUGGGUGUUAUACACUAUAAGAAAUGUAUUAUUGUUAUGAAGAGAUGCAGUGUAUAAGGCAAAGGUAUAAGGUAACUUUUUUUCGCAUUGUUUCAGUCUGUCUUUUUAAUUUGUUACAAUUUUUUGUAAAGUAAAUAGUGAAAAGACAUAUAAAGACAUACAUUUUUAAAAGUAUUUUUCUCAUGAGAAUUAAAUAUGAAAUUUUUGGCCAACGAGGUUGAACAGUGUUAGACUCGUUUAGAAAAAUGUUAAUUACUUAAGAACUAAUUAACAUAUCAAAGUGCCUAUUGCAUCAAUCGAUAGGAAAUUCAACCCUCUAUCUUAUUCUAUAUAUAACACACAUUUUAAACCCCAUAGCUACUUUAUUUUUUGAAGCAAAAAUGAACACAGGGCAACAUUUGAAAAAUUUUAGCCCAAAAAAUAAAGUGUUCCCUAGGGGGUUGAAAUUUUGUGUACAGAUAGAGGGUUGAAUUCCCUAUCGAUUGAUACUAAGAGCAUUCCGACAUUUUUUUUAAUUAAGGAGUAAUUAGCUUUUUAAUUUGAAAAACGAGGUCAAAAUACUAGAAUCAACAUUUUUUCUGUAGUGCUAAAAAUUUGUUACAGAUGUUGAAAAAUUUUGCAUGGGACAACCAAAUCUUGUGCAUUUUUGUCAUCAAAAAUUUCAUUUUGAACAAAAAUGAUAUAUUUUGCAGAAUCGUAUUUCUUAACGUGUAGGUAUUUUACAUUGCUAUUAUAUUUUUGGUUUGUCAUUAUACAUAUAUUUUAGGUUCGUUUGUUCAAAAUGAAAUAUUUUGCAGAAUGGUAUUUCUUAACGUGUAGGUAUUUUACAUUGCUAUUAUAUUUUUGGUUUGUCAUUAUACAUAUAUUUUAGGGUACUAUUUAAUUUUCUCUUGUUAUAUUUAUAAGACCUCUAAGAGUUUCUAUUUUUCUUUUAAUUGUUAUAGUAUAGGAAUUCUGACAGGACAAUGUUUUCCUAUAUCAUUCCAAAUUUCUAUUACAAUAAACUACCAUUUUAGAUUUCAAGUUUGCACAAAAAUGGCCUGUGCGAAAUAAGUAACGUUUGUUGGGGCCUUAAAGAAAACUACAAGGUAAAAUCUAGAUUUGUCUUUUAUUUUUUCAGAAUCUCUUUUACUUAUCGUGUGCUACAACGGGGCGAUUUUUUACAAAAAAACAUACAACCGAAAUAACAAAAACAGAACUUGAUUAAGUGUUAAAAUCAGUCAGAUCUUUCGACCAUGUUUUUU